UACCUCCCGAAUUUGUGCACUUGGUUGAAGAACAGCCCACCCUGAUGGAAGGAGGACCAUCCUUCGGUCAAGGGUAUAUGAGUAGCUGUGCUCCCUUGCUAGAACCUUUAAACAAGUCUCAAGGAGGCUACUGUUUUGAUUGGCCAUUUUAAAAAAUGAAGGCACCCUAAU
rnacentral:sRNA from 1 species